UACGAAGGGGGCUAGCGUUGUUCGGAAUCACUGGGCGUAAAGCGCACGUAGGCGGAUCUUUAAGUCAGAGGUGAAAUCCCAAGGCUCAACCUUGGAACUGCCUUUGAUACUGGAGAUCUUGAGUCCGGGAGAGGUGAGUGGAACUGCGAGUGUAGAGGUGAAAUUCGUAGAUAUUCGCAAGAACACCAGUGGCGAAGGCGGCUCACUGGCCCGGUACUGACGCUGAGGUGCGAAAGCGUGGG
rnacentral:rRNA from 1 species